rnacentral:rRNA from 1 species
CACCUGCCGGCGACCGGCGCACGGGUGAGUAACACGUAUGGAACCUGCCCGCCACAGGGGGACAACCCGCCGAAAGGCGGGCUAAACCCGCGUACAUGCCACCGGGGCAUCCCGGAGGCAGGAAAGGCUUCGGCCGGACAGGGAUGGGCAUGCGGCGCAUUAGGCAGUAGGCGGGGUAACGGCCCACCUAACCGACGAUGCGUAGGGGUUCUGAGAGGAAGGUCCCCCACACUGGUACUGAGACACGGACCAGACUCCUACGGGAGGCAGCAG